UACGUAGGGUGCGAGCGUUGUCCGGAAUUAUUGGGCGUAAAGGGCUCGUAGGCGGUUUGUCGCGUCGGGAGUGAAAACCUUGGGCUUAACUCAGGGCUUGCUUUCGAUACGGGCAGACUAGAGGUAUGCAGGGGAGAACGGAAUUCCUGGUGUAGCGGUGAAAUGCGCAGAUAUCGGGAGGAACACCAGUAGCGAAGGCGGCACUCUGGGCCGGUACUGACGCUGAGGAGCGAAAGCGUGGGGAGCAAAGCAGG
rnacentral:rRNA from 1 species